GGUACCUAAUACCUAUAUGAAUCCUCGGCGGGCAAGUUGAAAUACUUGUAACUAGUAAGUUGAAUUAAAAAAGUGAACAAAUUUAUUAUUCUCGUGAGUCGGGGGUGAUUCUGACAGGAGCUAUCCAGAGUGUAAAAGGAAAAUGCGUGGUGGAAUCUCUCACGAAGUUCAUCAGGCAGUUCACCUUCUAUGUCGAGCCGCGUGAAGCUGAUGUUAUCCAUGGCGUGGUGUUCGUUAGCAAACUGUAUCAUUUUCUCGCUAAUGUCGCAUCCUAUAAGCUCCUUGCAGUUAUUAGAUGCGCGUGCGCUAGAUCACCGUGUUCGACGCGGUUUCGGCGGGCAAUCGAGCCAGAAACGUGCUUCCUAUGUAUUUAUAUGAGCCACCGACGCACGGCAUCGUCGAGUGCGGCUGAGAUGGCCGAGGAAGUUCAGCUGGCGACAUCGGGACGACGUGAACGAUUGUUGUAUAUUCCAUAGGUAGUGUAACAACUAAAAUCGCUAAUAAAUUCAAACGCUAAGCACUCAUGGUUCCUUUGAUAACUCCAUUUAAGGAUGUUUCUGGUGAGGCUUUAUGGUUUGACGGGUUUUAUUUGGGGUAAAAUAUUUUUGUUCAAUUAACUUAGCAUUCAAUAUGGCAUCGUCGUUACUGAUUUUAGUGUUAUCUUUAUGGUCAUGAGUACUUAAAUUUAUGUUUCAAAGCUGCAAUUAGUUUAAAAAAAAAAUUAAAAAUAUUUUGUUGGGUAUCAUUGUUUGU